AGAUAGAUAGAAGAGAGAAAUACAGUGGAUCCAAAAUCCUCUGUACUACAUACCCACAUUUAACAACAGCAUUUACUACUAAACUUCACACAGCACCCCCUGGUGGGUGCCAAACUGUCAUCUAUUACCUUUUAAGGAGGAGUGACUUUUCGUUGAUUUUGCUCUCUAACAUUCAAACCUUCUUAAAAAGCAACCCGUUUUUCUUUGAGGAAUUGUAUUCUGCUCUCUUUCCCAUCGUGUACAGCAUGGGUGGAAAGAUAAAUCUCAGAAACUGCAAAGGGCCAAAAAUAGCUAAGGAAGAGUGAGGCAGAAAGACAUGCUUUAUGGGAUAUCAGGAGUUAUUAUAAAAACACAAUUUUAAGGCUAUAUGUCAAUGGCAUGAGGACAGAGUAGUGAACAAAUGAAACAAAACGGAGAGUUCAUUUCUGGAUGCAUUCAUAUAAGGGCAUUGUGUAAACAAAGUUAUCACUUUACACAGAGGGAAAGGACAUUUUCAAUAAAUGAUUGUAGGACAUUAUGUACUACAGCUGCAAACAGACAUACCUAGCAGUUCCACACCUGAAUACAAGC